AAGUCUGAUUGGAAAUGAGCAUCAUGGAGGGUGAUAGUCCCGUUUGUGCCGUGGUCGUCGUGCGGGGUGAUGGCCCGUUUUCGACGAGUCGAGUUGCUUGGGAUUGCAGCUCUAAGUGGGUGGUAAACUCCAUCUAAAGCUAAACACGCGGGGGAGACCGAUAGCGAACAAGUACCGUGAGGGAAAGAUGCAAAGAACUUUGAAAAGAGAGUUAAAGAGUGCCUGAAAUCGCUGGGAGGGAAGCGAGGGAAAGCAGUGUCUGGCGGUCAAAUCGCUCCCCCGUAGCCCUUCGGGGCUCGGGCUGCGCUCCGCUGUUGCCAGGGCCGGGUGGGGCCCGCGGGAUACGCGCCGCCGGGUAAGGUGGCCCAGGCGCCCUCGGGCGCUCGGGUGAAUACCGGCGU
rnacentral:rRNA from 1 species